rnacentral:rRNA from 1 species
UACGUAGGGUGCAAGCGUUAUCCGGAAUUAUUGGGCGUAAAGAGCUCGUAGGCGGUUUGUCGCGUCUGCUGUGAAAACCCGAGGCUCAACCUCGGGCCUGCAGUGGGUACGGGCAGACUAGAGUGCGGUAGGGGAGAAUGGAAUUCCCGGUGUAGCGGUGAAAUGCGCAGAUAUCAGGAGGAACACCGGUGGCGAAGGCGGGUCUCUGGGCAACAACUGACGCUGAGGAGCGAAAGCGUGGGGAGCGAACAGG